GAGGAGGAGGAGGAGUUUUUGUGGGGGAGCCGGAGCUGUUGGGCUCAAAAAAUAACCCUCACUUGGGCGAUUCCACCAUCAAAGGUCGCAGAGUGCCAGAAGCAGACUUGCCUGUGUUGAGCCAGGAUAAGUUCCCAUUCAUCAGAAUGGCACAGGAUUGCAGAGACAAACUUUAGGUUCAAAAGUAUGUAUUGAAGUCAAAGAAAUACAUUCCUGAUAGGAAAAGAUCUUGGAGCGAUCUAGCUGACUCAGUCUCAUCUUCUAAGAAGGGAAAAAGUAUCCAAAUAUUCCUUUUGCCUGGAGAGAAGCAAGAUGCGUCCUCACUUGAAGGAAGAAAGGGCAGAGAGAGAGAGAGAGAGAGAGAGAGAGAAAGAAAGAGGAAACAACGGGGGAUGCCCAGGUGGCCAAAAGCGAGAGCGAUACAAAUACCUUUCGAAGAGGAAGUUCCUUCAUACCUCUAAGGGAUUCCAUUGCUUCGUCUUCAAAAGGGGGAGGGGAUGGUGGAAACAAAGGAGAGGUCACACAAAAGCCCCUUCUGGGAGAAAGAAAGCAUGCAUAGAUAGGAAUGUGGGGGGAAGGAAAACCUCAUUCUAAUCUUACUUCCUCUCUAGAUAUUCAUUGAGGUCUGGAGACUUGAUAACACAAGCGACUUGUGCUCAGGAAAGCACAAAGAGACAGGAAAGCUUGGAGAAGAGAAGGAUGCUGGGGAAAAGGGAAAGAAAAGGGAAGAGGGGCCCACCAAGGGCAAGAUGGGUGAUGGUAUCCUUGAAGGGACUGGCUUGACCUUGAAGGAGCUGGAAGUGGCCACGGCCGACAGGGAGCUCUGGCCUGAGCUGCUCCAUGAGGUCACCAAGAGUCUGCGACUGAAGGAAUAAACAACAACAAAAAGGAUGAGACCCAACUCCUUUUAGGUGUUGUGACUCAGCUGGAGUCUCAGAGUGAUUCUGAUGGGGAUUUUAGGAUUCAAGUUCCAGAUGUUCAAGAUGAUGGGAUUCAGGUUCAAGAUGACUCUGAUGGGAAUUAUGGGAUUCAGGUUCAGAGUGUCCCUGCUGUGAGAGAUGAGGAGCAGGGAGGCAUUUUCACCGCAGGGAAUGGUGUUGAUGAUACUGGAGAUGAUACCUAAGCAAGGACAGCUCCCAGUUAGAUAGCAAGCAGACAGAGGCUGCUGCUAACGAGCUGUCUGGCCUUGACAAAACGGAAUCACUGGAUCGAGCUGGCCAUUUGGAAUUUCGGGUUCUCGGGACUGUUAGAAUAGCAAACAAGAAAGGGGUCAGAGGCCAAAGAAAUGCAUUCAUUCUAUGCAGGGAAUAUUAAAGGGUGUGCUGAGAGAGAAACCUUUGUCAAAAGCAACGUCUCUUUGGGUCUAGAAGCAGUUCUUGCUUUCUCAGAUUAUCUUGCAGCUUUGUGUAUUCAAGUUCAUGGGACUUUGUCAUGUAUUAAUGGAUCCUUGUUUUAUGCCUAAUGUUUUCUUGGAUUAUUCUUUAUAGCCUUGGUUUUGCAACAAUCGUUUGGAUCUUUACUUUUGCUUUUUAAGAACUAUUUAUUUCCUAUUUCCUAAUAAACUACAAAAGACUUCAACCUGGUGUGUUCAGCAAGGUGAAACUAACCUGAGGUGUGACAUUAGGGUUGUUCGGAGCUUAAUUCCUUUUUUUUAAAUAGUAACCACAAGCUGAGCAUGAGCCAAGAGUGUGAUGUGUCUCAUAAAAAGGCCAGUGUUGUUCUAGAGCUGUAAAAGCUGUUCAGCAGUGGAACUCACUGCCUCCAAGUGUAGUGGAAGCUCCUUCUUUGGACACCUUGAAACAGAGGCUUGAUGGCCAUUUGCUGGGGGUGCUUUGAUGAUGCUUUUCAUGCAUGGGAUAGGGUUGGACUAGAUGGCCCUUGGGGUCUCUCCCAACUCUAUGAUUCUAUGAUUUUGAAUCAAAAGGAGGAUCGUGUCCAGGUGGGGGAAGGAAGGGCACCCUCUCUCCUGCUUUGGUCAGGCCUCCCUUGGAAUAAUAACCUUGGUUCCAGUUCUGGACACAGAUGAGCAAGUAGGGGGUGUCCAGAGAAGGGCCACCAAAAGGGCCAAAGGGCUGGAGGAGUGGCUUAAAGAGAAAGGGGUUGGACUGGAUGACCCUUGGGGUCCUUCCCAGCUCCAUGAUUCUAGGUUUGGUUUAUUUGGAAGCCGACUUGACCAUUCGAUAUCUUUUUGGGGGAGGAGAAGCCGGGUGGGAAAGGCGCGUUCUGGCGGUUCACACCUCCGGGGUGUUCGUGGAAGGGAUUUCUGGGGGAGGAGCCCCCCCCCCCAAGCGGGAGAAGGGGGUCCGGAGGGGAUUUCACGCCCCUCUUGGGAGGGACUCCGCCCUUCAGACGCCCUCCUCCCGCGGCGAAAUCGCUCCUGCCAGGCAGAGGGGCGGGGCCAGCCUUCUUUCCAACAGACCUCAAAGGAGGGAGGGACCUUGGAGAACUACAUAUCCCACAAGCCACCCAAGGCCGACUCUUGGCGGAGCAGUUUGGAAAAGCUAGCUCGGUUUCUUCGGGCUUCCAGGCCCUUCCAGCAGAGCCUUCCCUGCAGCUGAUUGGCUCCCAAUGGAGACCCAGGGAAGCUACUAUUUUGGAGCAUGAAGUCUUGAGCUGCUUGGGUCUCACUUCAAGAGCCUGGAAAAGCUACAACUCUGCGCCUCGCUUUCCCCCGAAAACUGUUUGUGCGUGUUGUAAUUGGUUGUUUCCGCAACCAGCGUCUCACCGUUCUCUCAACGUCUUCAUCAGAAGAAUAAUGAUGUCCCCACAGGUCUUCUUUCAUGAUCUGUAACAUUCUCAAUAAUUCUUGCAUUCUCGGAUGAAUCUCCUUUGGGGUGACACCUUCUGCUGUCAAGAAUUCAGUGACUGCACAUGGCUUAAGUCGUAUCUACGUACUUCGCACUUUAACAAUACAACCGUUCAAUGCUAAGGCUUCCCGCCCAAUGGAACUAACUGUAGAGGAGAGUCUCCUGAACAAGCCAGGACCUGCCACAGACCAGAACUGCCAUCUAUUGAGGAGUUACGAAGGUGGAGGCAUUACUUGUCAUUCAACCCUCGUAGAUUGGCAACUUCUUCCACUGCUAUGGCUCUAUGCCAGGCAUGGGCCAACUUGGACCCAAGUCCAAAACACCUGGAGGGAGGGCCCAAGUUGACCCAUGCCUGUUGUAGGGCUUUGGAGGUCCUCCCCUUAAACUCAAACUGAAGCUGGACUUUGGCUAGGGUUUGAAUCCAAAUUUUCGUAAUCACCUUGAGCUCCAAAAUAUAGAAGAGCAGAAGACAGGAAUCCCUCUUCUUCUUAAGAAUCAUCAUGAUUGGGAUAAACCUUGUUGUUGUUGUUGUUGUUGUUGUUGCUGCUGCUGCUGUUGCUGCUGUUGUUGCUUUUGUUGCCGCUGACAUUGUUGUUGUCAUCAUGUUAAUAAUAUUUAUACAUUGAUGUUGACUUCCGAUCCGGUAUUUUGACUAGAUUUUGAGUUUAAAUUUCCCCCCACCCCCUUGCAUGCAGGAGCACAACACAACAGGAUAUGGGCGGUGAAAAAUAAGAAUUCUCCUUCUUUCUAAGAAACGUUAUUAUUACUGGAAAUCAGUAUGGUAUUGAUAAUAAUAUAAUAUUAUUAUAACAUAAUAUUAAUAUAAUAUUUAAUAAUAUAAUAUUUUGGAUCAUGUUUACAUUAGGCGUUUGAAUGCUAUGUCUGUUUAAAUUUAUUUAAAUCCUUGAUGGAGUCUACUGAUUAUCUUGCCUUGUGAUGUUGUUUAUUAUGUGGUGUUUUUUUAAACCAAUUGAAUGUUUUUAUGUUUUAUUAUUUUAAAAACAUUUUAAAAAAUAACACAUUUUAUUUAUUAUUAUUAUUAUUUAUUUUAUGUUUUAUUAUUAAUUAUUUAUAAGUUUUAUUAUUAUAUUAUAUUAUUUGUUUUAAGUUUUAUUAUUAUUUAUGAUUAAUUUCUAAGUGUUGUUAGGAGCCAACCCAGGAUUUUAUGAUAGUAUGUUUAUUGUAUGUGACCUCAUUUGUUUUAUGACUUGUUUUUAUUGUUGAUUGACUUGUUUUAUUGUUGUGUUUUUAUAUUGUCUGUUGCCUGGGCUUGGCCCCGUGUAAGCCGCCCCGAGUCCCUUCGGGGAGAUGGGGCGGGGUAUAAAAAUGAAAUUAUUAUAUUAUUAUGAUAUUGUUUGUAUCGUAUGUUUUAAUGGCCUCGUUUAUUUUCAUGCAGAGUUGCAUCUUUAUUGUUUAGAUCAGGGCUCCUCAAACUUUUUAAGCCGAGGGCCGGUCCACAAUCCUUCAGACUGUGGAGGGGCCGAAUGAUCAUUUGGAAAAAAAAAAUACGAACAAAUUUCUGUGCACACUGCACAUGUCUUAUUUGUAGUGCAAAACAACAAUAACAAUGAAAGAACAAUACAAUAUUUAAAAAUGAAAACAAUUGUAACCAACAUAAACCUAUCAGGAUUUCAAUGGGAAGUGUGGGCCUGCUUCUGGCCAAUGAGAUAGUCAAGUUAAUUAGGAUUGUUGCUGUUGUGCCUUCAAGUCAUUUCAGACUUUGGGCGAGCCUAAGUCUAAAAUUAUUUAUUUAUUCAUUUACUACAUUUAUUUAUUACAUUUCUAUCCUGCCCUUCUCACCCCGAAAGGGACUCAGAGCAGCUGUAUCUACAUACAAUAUAUUAUAUUAUUAGCAUAGCACAAUAUUAGCAAUAUAUAUUACUAUAUUGAACUAUACCACUAUACUGUAAUAUUAUAUGUAAUAUAUAACGUAUAAUUAAUAUUAUUAUAUGGUUUUAUUAUUAGUAUUAUAUUGUAUAACAUAUUAUUAUCAAUAUUAUAUGUAUAUACAAUAUAUUAUAUUAUUAAAAAUGAUAUAAAAAUAUUAUGUUAUAAAACUGAGGGCAGGGGCCAGGUAAAUGACCUUGGAGGGCCGCAUCCGGCCCCCGGGCCUUAGUUUGGGGACCCCUGGUUUAGAUAGUAUGAUUUGGUUUCACGUGUAUGUUUGGUGUUGAAUUUUGCCAUUAUUUUGCUGCAAACCGCUUUGAGUCCAUCCCCCCUCCCCAGGGGUGAGAAAAGGGGUCUAGAAAUACAGUAAAAACAAACAAACAAACAAAUAUAGUGUGGGAGUUUUGGAGGUUCAUCCCAGAGAGCGCAAAGCCCCAAUGCGGCCAAUGUCGACUGAGUUUGGACUAGUUUUGACUGUUUCCAGGUUCAUGAGAACCCUUCUUUCUAAGAAAGACGGGGCCAGGGGCUGUGUUUUCACCGUUUCCAUGUGAACUGUAUUUCUCUGUUUCACUGCUGAAUGUGAUGCGUGUUUGUGUAUUUGUAUUUGCAAAACUGGGAGCCGCUCUCCUUCGGGAUGAAAGAGAGAGAGAGAGAGAGAGAAGUGGGGGUAGAAACAGAGUAAAGAAAUAAAUAAAAUAGGAAAGAGAGAAAGAACGAAAGAAGAGAGAGAGAGAGAGGGAGGGACGAAGGGAAGAAAAAAAGGAAGGAAGGAAUCCCCUUGGGAAGAUAAAAUAAAGUUGUUAUUAUUAUUAUUAUUAUUAUUAUUAUUAUUAUUAUUAUUAUUAUUAUUAUUAUUAUAAGAAAGAAAGAAAAGAAAGAAAGAAAGAAAGAAAGAAAGGGAAGGAAGGAAUCCCCUUGUGGAGAUAAAAUAAAGUUAUUAUUAUUAUUAUUAUUAUUAUUAUUAUUAUUAUUAUUAUUAUUAUAAGAAAGAAAGAAAAGAAAGAAAGAAAAGAAAGAAAGAAAGAAAGAAAGAAAGAAAGAAAGAAAGAAAGAAAGAAAGGGAAGGAAGGAAUCCCCUUGUGGAGAUAAAAUAAAGUUUUUAUUAUUAUUAUUAUUAUUAUUAUUAUUAUUAUUAGGAAGAAAGAAAGAAAGAAAGAAAGAAAGAAAGAAAGAAAGAAAGAAAGAAAGAAAGAAAGAAAGAAAAGGAAGGAGUCCCCUUUGGGAGAUAGCGAGGGAUAAAAAUAAAGUAUUAUUAUUAUUAUUAGGAAGAAAGGAAGGAAGGAAGGAAGGAAGGAAGGAAGGAAGGAAGGAAGGAAGGAAGGAAGGAAGGAAGGAAGGAAGAAAAGAAAAAAUCCCCUUGAGGAGAUAAAAUAAAGGGGUUUUUUUAAAUAAUAAUAAUAAUUAUUAUUAGGAAGGAAGGAAGGAAGAGAAGGAAGGAAGGAAAAUGAAAGAAAGGGAAGGAAGGAAGCAAGGGAGGAAGAAGAGAGAGAGGAAGGAAGAGAAGGGAGGAAAAGAAGAAGGAAGGAGUUCCCUUGGGGAGAUAGGACGGGAUAAAAUAAAGUUGUUGUUGUUGUUGUUAGGAAGAAAGAAAGAAAGAGAAAGAAAGGAAGGAAAAAAGAAAAGGAAGGAAAAGAAGGAAGGAAAAAGAAAGGAAGGAAGAGAGAAGAAAGAAAGAAAGAAAGAAAGAAAGAAAGAAAGAAAGAAAGAAAGAAAGAAGAAAGAAAGAAAGAGGAAGGAAGGAAGAAAAGAAAAGGAAGCCCCCCCCCCCCCAGGCUGUUGGGAAUGGUGGGAGUUGUAGUCCAAAAACACCUGGAGGGAGGGCCCAAGUUCGCACUUUCCCUGCUCUAUAGCAACUGAAAGGGAGGAAGAAAGAAAGAAAGAAAGAAAGAAAGAAAGAAAGAAAGAAAGAAAGAAAGAAAGAAAGAAAGAAAGAAAGAAAGAAAAGAGGAAGCAAGAUCAGAAAGGCAGGAUUAAAAACCCCUUGGAUUUCCCAGCUGACCCCGUCCAUUCCAAAGAGCGCAUUUACAUUUACAUUGUAUGGGCAUGAAUUAUUUUCGUGUGCUUUCCCUUAGGGCCUUCUCUUUACAAUAUAUGUUUGAAGGGCCCCGUGUUUCUCUCUGGGCCCUUUAACUAUGAGCCACGCGCUCCAGCCUUGAGACCAGGCCGAAAAAGAAUUAUUAUUAUUAUUAUUAUUAUUAUUAUUAUUAUUAUUAUUAUUAUUAUUAUUAUUAUUGGAUGACACAGCAAACAAGAUAGAUAUGCUGGAUUUCGUAUCACAAAACCACAAGUUGAACACUUCCCAAGUGUCUAGGACUGUGUGAUGUAUUAUUAUUAUUAUUAUUAUUAUUAUUAUUAUUAUUAUUAUUAUUAUUAUUAUGACACAGCAAACAAGAUAGAUAUGCUGGAUUUCGUAUCACAAAAUCACAAGUCGAACACUUCCCAAGUGUCUAGGACUGUGUGAUGUAUUAUUAUUAUUAUUAUUAUUAUUAUUAUUAUUAUUAUGACACAGCAAACAAGAUAGAUAUGCUGGAUUUCGUAUCACAAAAUCACAAGUCGAACACUUCCCAAGUGUCUAGGACUGUGUGAUGUAUUAUUAUUAUUAUUAUUAUUAUUAUUAUUAUUAUUAUUAUUAUUAUGACACAGCAAACAAGAUAGAUAUGCUGGAUUUCGUAUCACAAAAUCACAAGUCGAACACUUCCCAAGUGUCUAGGACUGUGUGAUGUAUUAUUAUUAUUAUUAUUAUUAUUAUUAUUAUUAUGACACAGCAAACAAGAUAGAUAUGCUGGAUUUUGUAUCACAAAAUCACAAGUCGAACACUUCCCAAGUGUCUAGGACUGUGUGAUUAUUAUUAUUAUUAUUAUUAUUAUUAUUAUUAUUAUUAUUAUUAUUAUUGGAUGACACAGCAAACAAGAUAGAUAUGCUUGAUUUCUUAUCACAAAACCACAAGUCGAACACUUCCCAAGUGUCUAGGACUGUGUGAUGUAUUUUCGGAUGAUGCGUGCAGAUCCCAGUAGGGUGGCCUUUUGCAGUUGGCAGAUCGUUAUUAUUAUUAUUAUUGGGUUGUUGUGUGUCUUUCGGGCUGUGUGGCCAUGUUCCAGAAGCAUUCUCUCCUGACGUUUCGCCCACAUCUAUGGCAGGCAUCCUCACAACCUCUGAGGAUGCCUGCCAUAGAUGUGGGCGAAACGUCAGGAGAGAAUGCUUCUGGAACAUGGCCACACAGCCCGAAAGACACACAACAACCCUGUGAUCCUGGCCAUGAAAGCCUUCGACAACACAUUAUUAUUAUUGUUGUUGUUAUUAUUAUUAUUAUUAUACUAUUGUUGUCGCUACUAUGAGAAAGAAUUAUUAUUAUUACUACUACUACACUAAUGUUGUCGCUGCUAUUUAUUUAUUUAUUGUUGUUCGCUACUAUGAGAAAGAAUUAUCAUUAUUAUUAUUAUUAUUACUAUUAUUACUAUACUAUUGUUGUCGCUGCUAUUUAUGUUGUUGUUGUUGCUGUUGUUGUAAAGGCAGAGCUCUUGCCUUCCUUCCCCCUGGAGAGCCGAGGGUGGGGUGGUCUCUCUCCGCCUCUUGGCGGGCCCCAAUCCCGCGAAGUGAGACCCUUUCGGGGCAGCGUUGGACUCCUUUCGCCUUUUCCUUCGCCGUCCUUGACCCUUCAGUUGGGAGGUUCUGUUCUCGAAGCCUUUUGGGAAAGGAAGCCAUGCGAUGCCAGCCUUUCCUGUGUGGCUCCCCUUCUUCUGCUCAGAGCCCAGGGCUGAAGGAAGGAAGCCAGACAGGCAAAAAUACCUUUAAUAAAAAGAAACACAGAAGACACUCUUAAAAGAGAAAGGAAAAUGGGGAAGAAGAGGAAGAACCGCCCCUCCAUUUUCGGCAUUUCCGCGGACUUCCCUUCAUUUUGAGCUGGAAGGGGCAGAAAAGGGCCGGAAAGUGCCCCGAAGCCCGAUUUCCCCCUUUAAAAUGGGGCGAAUUUAGGAGAGAUGCCUUCCCAUAACUUUAAAGAAAAACCCUUUUGCAAAAGAAAUGGUCCGAAUUUCAUGUAUUGGGAUUUAGUGUUGCCCUUUUUAUAUUGCCAUCGCUUUGUUUUUAUUGAAUGCCUGAUUUAAAUUGAGUUGGGUUUUACUUUUGUGAGUGUUGUUUAUGUUUGAAUAUUGAUUUCAUGUACAGUAUUUUCAUAUAUUGGGAUUUAGUAUUGACCAUCUUAUAUUGCCAUCGCUUUGUUUUUAUUGAAUGCCUGAUUUAAAUUGAGUUGGGUUUUACUUUUGUGAGUGUUGUUUAUGUUUGAAUAUUGAUUUCAUGUACAGUAUUUUCAUAUAUUGGGAUUUAGUAUUGACCAUCUUAUAUUGCUAUUGCUGCGUUUUUAUUCAAUAUCUGAUUUAAAUUGAGUUGGGUUUUACUUUUGUGAGUGUUGUUUAUGUUUGAAUAUUGAUUUCAUGUACAGUAUUUUCAUAUAUUGGGAUUUAGUAUUGACCAUCUUAUAUUGCUAUUGCUGCGUUUUUAUUCAAUAUCUGAUUUAAAUUGAGUUGGGUUUUACUUUUGUGAGUGUUGUUUAUGUUUGAAUAUUGAUUUCAUGUACAGUAUUUUCAUAUAUUGGGAUUUAGUAUUGACCAUCUUAUAUUGCUAUUGCUGCGUUUUUAUUCAAUAUCUGAUUUAAAUUGAGUUGGGUUUUACUUUUGUGAGUGUUGUUUAUGUUUGAAUAUUGAUUUCAUGUACAGUAUUUUCAUAUAUUGGGAUUUAGUAUUGACCAUCUUAUAUUGCCAUCGCUUUGUUUUUAUUGAAUGCCUGAUUUAAAUUGAGUUGGGUUUUACUUUUGUGAGUGUUGUUUAUGUUUGAAUAUUGAUUUCAUGUACAGUAUUUUCAUAUAUUGGGAUUUAGUAUUGACCAUCUUAUAUUGCUAUUGCUGCGUUUUUAUUCAAUAUCUGAUUUAAAUUGAGUUGGGUUUUACUUUUGUGAGUGUUGUUUAUGUUUGAAUAUUGAUUUCAUGUACAGUAUUUUCAUAUAUUGGGAUUUAGUAUUGACCAUCUUAUAUUGCUAUUGCUGCGUUUUUAUUCAAUAUCUGAUUUAAAUUGAGUUGGGUUUUACUUUUGUGAGUGUUGUUUAUGUUUGAAUAUUGAUUUCAUGUACAGUAUUUUCAUAUAUUGGGAUUUAGUAUUGACCAUCUUAUAUUGCUAUUGCUGCGUUUUUAUUCAAUAUCUGAUUUACAUUGAGUUAGGUUUUACUUUUGUGCGUGUCCCCUCCGGGGUGAGAAAGGCGGGGUAUAAAUGGGGCAAAUAAAUAAUAAAAAUUUUUUGAUAUUG